UCACACUUACAAGUCAACUUCACAAAACAUACAAAAUACUAGCAAUCUAGCACAUAUAUGUUUCAAAAAGUACUACACAUUAAUUCCAUAAACCCGCAGCAAAUGAGUAGCAGUCACUUGACACAGUUUUGGUGCAUAUAGGACACAACAUAUCACUUGUUAAUACUAACAAAACCAUCCUUCCAAAAAUUAAUAGAAUAAAUGACUAGAUAUAGCAAAUAUCAUCAACAUUUCACCCCUCAUAGGGGACGAAACCAUACCUAUGUGGUUAAUAUAUGGCGUUGAGAGAAUGCAACAACAUCUCUGUGUGGUAAAUGUAUGGCGUUGGCGUUUGAAAGAAGAAUAAGUCAACUUCUUAUCAGAAACCAGGGAGAGAAAUCCAGAGGGUUUUUGCACUAACUCUUCAACUAAGAGACAACACACCCAUAAAGUGUUGAAUUAUCAACACCCUGUGGCAUUAAAAAAAGCCCAAAAAAAAGUAGCAUUGUGAGUACAGGAAUGAGUACAAUAUAAAAAAAACUUAAAAUGAUAAGGGAGACUUACAGUUAUAGGUGAAGCUAUUAAGUAUUCAAACUUAAGGAUUAACUAAACAAAUGACCAGUCAACAAAUCCUUAAGACACUGUUUACUUCAUAGGUGAUUUUGGAAAGAAAAGAAAGUUUGAAGAGAUGUAGAAAAUCACAAGGCUAACAAAAAAAUGUUUCCCUUCAGAACUCAAAGGAAAAUUUGAAGUUAAUUUUAGGAUGGUAUAAAUAUAUGCUUAACACAGGCAACUAGAAGCAAAUUCUUAGCUUAAAUGAGAAUAUAUAAGCCUUUUAUGCACCACAAUAGGUAAACCUCAAAACUUACAAAUGUAGACUGAAUUAAAUUAAGAUCCAAAAACAUAUGCAAAAGAAUCCAGCUAUAAACCUCUUCAAAUGGUAAAAAGGAAUUCUUGAUUAAAAUAUUUGCACCUUAGGAACAAGUUAAUACUAAAGUGGUUAAUUAAGUCAAGAAGUGGUUACUCAUUAACCAUUCUAAAUAUUGUUAUACAAUUGAGUGGUUAAAUAAUCCUAAACAGUAACUCCUUUUCAGUAAUUUUCAAAUAACAUUUGCUAAUUGCUUAGAAUAAUUUAGGAAGAUACAUUGAAUGGAAAAUAAAAAUGAAAAGAUAGAUGAAUAGUAUAUUUUUGUUAUGAAAUAUAUAGUUCCGAAAUACAUUUCUAAAAGUUUCCUGUGAUCCAAUUUUCAUCCUUAGAAUAUAUAAGAAAAGAUAGAAGUAAGGAAGAAAGAGAACAUUAAUAAGAAAAUCUAAGAAAGUUGAAUCAAUGUAACAAUUCAAUCACUACAGUUACCUGUAGCCUAAAUACAAAAGACAGAUCCCUUUGUUUAAGGUGUUCCUGCAUAAAUCAAUAUACACAGUUAAGCAUCAUUGUUUAAAAACUUUGACACCCUCCAACUUCAUCAUAUAAAUUGGUAAUCUUACACUGAGUCUGUAUACAAUGAAGUUGUAGAUGCAAAGUAACCAGAUUAACAAAGGCAUAUAUCAUUUAAGACAAUAUAUUUGAAAACAAGUUGUUGUGUGACUCUGUUUGAAAAAAAAGGCAUAAUUAUAUUCAAGAACACACACAUAUUAAAUAACACAAACAAGCCAUAACAAUAAUAAAAUUACAAUCACAUCUAGCAUUUAAGUAUGUUCUAUGCAUAUUGGAUACAAGUUUGUAAGGACUAUGUACAAGCCUUUGUAACGAAACAAGGGGUCCUAACUCCAAAAGACAAGCCAUGUAAGAAAACACAGGGCUUCUAACCUAUCAAAGAUAAGCCUUAUAACAAAACAAAGGUUUAUAAAAUAGCUAAGUUAAUUGCUAUAACUCUCAACAUUAAUAUGAGGAAAAAAUGAGAUUAAGUGGCAGAAACAAAUGAACCAUAAAAGCAUCACUCAUAGAUCAGCAUAGCUCAAAAUUUUAAUACCCAAAAACAGAUUAGCACGCUUAGAAACCAGAAUGCAACAACAAAGGAAGGUUGAAGUCACAAAAAUCAUUCAUACAUAAACAAAGGCACUAGAAAUCAGUCAUCUCUCGCAUCCCAAAACCCAUCCAGUGUACAAGAUCAUAGUUGAGCUUUAAAAACACAGUAACAGCAAGGGUUCAAAUAAGUAGAAGCCACACCACUAACUCAACAAAGGUUUGAAGAAUGAAGCAAGGGUAUAUGUUAGUAUAUAUUUG
rnacentral:lncRNA from 1 species